GACGAACGCUGGCGGCGUGCUUAACACAUGCAAGUCGAACGGAAAGGCCCUGCUUUUGUGGGGUGCUCGAGUGGCGAACGGGUGAGUAACACGUGAGUAACCUGCCCUUGACUUUGGGAUAACUCCAGGAAACUGGGGCUAAUACCGGAUAGGAGCUCCUGCUGCAUGGUGGGGGUUGGAAAGUUUCGGCGGUUGGGGAUGGACUCGCGGCUUAUCAGCUUGUUGGUGGGGUAGUGGCUUACCAAGGCUUUGACGGGUAGCCGGCCUGAGAGGGUGACCGGCCACAUUGGGACUGAGAUACGGCCCAGACUCCUACGGGAGGCAGCAGUGGGGAAUAUUGCACAAUGGGCGGAAGCCUGAUGCAGCAACGCCGCGUGCGGGAUGACGGCCUUCGGGUUGUAAACCGCUUUCGCCUGUGACGAAGCGUGAGUGACGGUAAUGGGUAAAGAAGCACCGGCUAACUACGUGCCAGCAGCCGCGGUGAUACGUAGGGUGCGAGCGUUGUCCGGAUUUAUUGGGCAUAAAGGGCUCGUAGGUGGUUGAUCGCGUCGGAAGUGUAAUCUUGGGGCUUAACCCUGAGCGUGCUUUCGAUACGGGUUGACUUGAGGAAGGUAGGGGAGAAUGGAAUUCCUGGUGGAGCGGUGGAAUGCGCAGAUAUCAGGAGGAACACCAGUGGCGAAGGCGGUUCUCUGGGCCUUUCCUGACGCUGAGGAGCGAAAGCGUGGGGAGCGAACAGGCUUAGAUACCCUGGUAGUCCACGCUGUAAACGGUGGGUACUAGGUGUGGGGUCCAUUCCACGGGUUCCGUGCCGUAGCUAACGCUUUAAGUACCCCGCCUGGGGAGUACGGCCGCAAGGCUAAAACUCAAAGGAAUUGACGGGGCCCCGCACAAGCGGCGGAGCAUGCGGAUUAAUUCGAUGCAACGCGUAGAACCUUACCUGGGUUUGACAUGGAUCGGGAGUGCUCAGAGAUGGGUGUGCCUCUUUUGGGGUCGGUUCACAGGUGGUGCAUGGCUGUCGUCAGCUCGUGUCGUGAGAUGUUGGGUUAAGUCCCGCAACGAGCGCAACCCUUGUUCACUGUUGCCAGCACGUUAUGGUGGGGACUCAGUGGAGACCGCCGGGGUCAACUCGGAGGAAGGUGGGGAUGACGUCAAGUCAUCAUGCCCCUUAUGUCCAGGGCUUCACGCAUGCUACAAUGGCUGGUACAGAGAGUGGCGAGCCUGUGAGGGUGAGCGAAUCUCGGAAAGCCGGUCUCAGUUCGGAUUGGGGUCUGCAACUCGACCUCAUGAAGUCGGAGUCGCUAGUAAUCGCAGAUCAGCAACGCUGCGGUGAAUACGUUCCCGGG
rnacentral:rRNA from 1 species